UAGCAGACCAGUUGAGAAGGUUUGCUUGCAUUCGCUUGAGGGCAGAGCUGGCUUAGACUGGGACAGGGGAGGCAUGCCUCAGAACCAGGCCUGGCCCUAAGUGCUUGCAUUUUUAAGAGUUUUUUUUUUCUUUGUUCACAGGUGCAGACAGCUGAAUCCUGAGUCACUAUUUUUGUUUAGAGAUUGAUGCCAAGCUUACAGCACAGGCCACCCUUCCCUAAGUGGGUGGCCAAACUUUGCAAACUAAGGUCUGGUCUACACUAUAGAAUUAGGUUGAUGCAAGGCAGCUUAUGUUGACCUAACUGCGAAAGCAUCAACACUACAAUAUUGCUCCUGCCGAUGUAACUUGCUCACUACGCCGACUUAAUAACCACCUGCAUGAGAGGCAUGGCACUUAGUUUGACAUAGUUAGGUCGAACAGUGUCAGUGUAGAUGCUGCAUUAUUUAUGUCAACUUCAGUGGUCUCCGGAAGGUGUCCCAUGAUGCCCCACCAUGACUGCUCUGGUCACUGUUUAGAACUCUGCUGCCUGGCGGUCAGGUACACAGGAAAACACCCCACCCCUUUAAAGCCCUGGGAAUUUUAAAUUCGAUUUCCUGUUUGUUCGGCAUGGAGAGCUCACCUAGCAAUUGCCCAGCUGACCAUGCUGGCUCCACACUGCAAAUGCGCUCCUGCCUGGAGUACACAGGAGGUGGUGGAUCUCCUGGGUCUGUGGGGAGAAGAGUCUAUGGAGGCACAGCUCCAAUCCAGCUGUAGAGACAUCUACAUCUAGGAGCAGAUUGUUCGGGGCAUGGGGGAGCAGGGCUACAAGAGGGACACGUAGCAGUGCCAUGUGAAAGUCAAGUUGCUGCGGCAGGCGUACUAGAAGCCAAGAAAGGCAAACAGCCACUCUGGUGCGGAGUAGCAGAUAUGCUGCUUCUACAAGGAGCUGCAUGCCAUCCUUGGUGGUGACCCCCCUCAAGGCCCUGUUGAUACUUCUGGGGAGCUGGAGUCACAGGCCAUCAUAGUGAACCCUGAGGAUGAGGUUUUGGAUGAGGAAAAGGAGGAGGAGAAUGAGGGACUGGCGACCGGGGGAUCCAAUGGUGCUGUGAGCCAGGACCUCUUUUUGACUCCUGAGCAGUCAAGCCACUCCCAGCAGUCCAGCACAGCUGCAAAUGUGGCCGUAAGGGUCUCUCUGUCCACAUCAGCAGAGCAGCUCAGCCAGAUAAGGUGGAGAAAGAAGUGGACAAGGGAAGACAUGUUCCAGGAGAUCCUGCAAGCCUGGUGUUUCAGAUACCAAGCAGAGGGCUUGGAGGAUGAUGCCCAAGGACACAAUGGACAGGGAUAGUGAGGUCAGGAGAAACAGGCAGCAAGAGAUGAUAGUGCUUCUCAGGGAGUAAACAGACAUGCUGCAGUCUCUGAUUGACCUUCAGGCUCAACAGAUCUGUGCUUGCCUUCCCUGCAGCCCAUACAGAACUGCAUUCCAGCACUUACUUACACGACCCCCGACCACUGCCAAGGUCAGUGCAUUACCUCUUCUGUUCCACUUGGUGGGAGAGUACAGACUAUCACAGAUGCACAUACACUGACCUGUGAGACAGUUGGUGUAUAUGUUUGUGAAAGGGAAAUGACUGUUCUUUCCCCUUCAAAGGUUCUUUCCCCUGGGUUUUUAAAGUUUCGUUCAGUUUUAAAUGUGUCUGUUUGCCUGGGUUCAGAAUAAAAGUCUAUUUAUGGAAACUUAA